GGGCCCGUAGCCUAGUGAGACCAUCGCGGGAUGGCAACCUCACUUCAAACACGGAUCAGGGCGUCAGCCUCCGAAGCUGAAGACCGAGGGUCCGAAUCCCUCCGGGCCCG
rnacentral:tRNA from 1 species